UACGAAGGGAGCUAGCGUUGUUCGGAAUCACUGGGCGUAAAGCGCACGUAGGCGGAUUUGUCAGUCAGGGGUGAAAUCCCGGGGCUCAACCUCGGAACUGCCUUUGAUACAGCAAGUCUUGAGUUCGAGAGAGGUGGGUGGAAUUCCUAGUGUAGAGGUGAAAUUCGUAGAUAUUAGGAAGAACACCGGUGGCGAAGGCGGCCCACUGGCUCGAUACUGACGCUAAGGUGCGAAAGCGUGGGGAGCAAACAGG
rnacentral:rRNA from 1 species